UACGAAGGGGGCUAGCGUUGUUCGGAAUUACUGGGCGUAAAGGGCGCGUAGGCGGCCUUCUAAGUCAGACGUGAAAUCCCCGGCUUAACCUGGGAACUGCGUCUGAUACUGGGAGGCUUGAGUAUGGGAGAGGGAUGUAGAAUUCCAGGUGUAGCGGUGAAAUGCGUAGAUAUCUGGAGGAAUACCGGUGGCGAAGGCGGCAUCCUGGACCAUUACUGACGCUGAGGCGCGAAAGCUAGGGGAGCAAACGGG
rnacentral:rRNA from 1 species